rnacentral:misc_RNA from 1 species
CCUCCUUACCAUUACGUCGAAAGACGCACUUGAUGCAGUGCCUACACAGAUAGUCUUGUUUAUAUUUAAAGAUGACUUAAAUAAAAGCCCUUAGCUUUGAUUUAAGAUCAAACCUAAGUGUUUUGAAUUAAGCACUAUGUUCUUUAACAAUUUGGAAAGCUGAUAUUAAUAGUAAUCAAUCAAAAUUGAGUAACUGAGAAGUCGAAAGACGUACUUUUUACUCUACUUGACUUGAAUUGCUUGUUAUCAACAUUGAUUGAUAGCAAGGCAAUUCUUCCGAUUAGCUUGUCAUGCAUGCAACAUUACCCUUGUCCGAUUUCAAAAGGCGGACAUGAGGCCGAUACUCAAGGCUUUUUAGGGUUGUAUGGUUAAGUGACGAAGCGUAUACGGUGGAUGCCUUGGCAGUUUAGAGGCGAUGAAGGACGUGUAAGUCUGCGAAAAGCUGUGGUGAGCCGACAAAAUGCAUUUGAGCCACAGAUUUCCGAAUGGA